AUACACUCCACGCAGAAGGCAAUAAACUAAAUUGUCGUAUUCAUGACCGAAACAGCAGUGAAUAUCGUAUGACGAGUCGGCUUUGCGGAUUUUACGGAGAUAGAAAUCUUUGAUGAAAGUGGAGGAGCACAUCUACAGGUCGUCGGGUGGUCAAGAGAUCAGGCUCACACGUCUAAAUAGCGUGUCAUAGCCAAAAAUUGACUACCCGAUGAUACCAAGCCGUUCAUUCAAAGAGACCGCGGUGAUUCGGGAUAAAUUGAAGGACCUCCAUUGUAACGUACUGUUUGCGUGAUACGUCGAUCUAGUCGUUCUAGCUUGUCGUCGUCAUCAUUUAAGGUAACCCGUUCUCCUCC